GUGACUGGUGGCACCUCAGCGACAUGACUCACGCAAACAAAGCGGGAACCUCGUUGGAUGUAAACACGGCACGUGAGGCGAGGGGCCACCUGACGCCAGCUGUAAAGAAGCCUGCGAGGACGUCGCGGGGGCCGAGCGUUUGCCAGACGAACGGAAAGGAGCGACUCGCCGCCCCUCCCUCGCGCUGGUAAUUAAAAGUGGCCAAGUUGAGUGGCGUGUGACCGACUUGAAGUGUUUGGGAUGAACGGCCCGGAAUGCGCAAGUCGGCUCGGACAGACUUCUCAUCACGGAGGGAUCAGCUUCCAAUUUUCUAAGCUGCGCCGUUCUUCAGAAUCAAUCGAGAAAGUUUGCCCCCCCCCCCCAACCCACUGACAAACCCCGAACGCAAGGAGCAAAAAAAUGCAAGUCAGCAGCUAUUUAAUUAUCCGCUUGAUUGCUUUACGGCAAUAGAACAAGCAGCCAGCGGGAAGAGGACAAGGUGAACAUGCACAAAGACGAGAAGCCGAGUACAACAAAGCGAGGCGCGUUUCCGUGACCUCUUUGGAAGGAUCCAGCUUGCAUCCGACCGCGCAGCUUAAAAAAGAAAAAUCAUAUU